AGAUGUGAGGGCGAUCUGGCUGCAACAUCUGUCACCCCAUUGAUCACCAGGGUUGAUUUGGCCGAUCUGGUUGGCUAACUGGGUGUCCCCUUCCUCCCUCACCACUCCAAAUGCGCCCCUCCUGAAGUUGCACGCUUGUUAAAAAUAAAUAAGUGUAUGAAUAACAAAGAAGGGAAGAGGUACAAUGGAUAAGGUAGGAGAGAGAUAUUUGCUAUGUCUCCACUUACCUUGGGGGAUUCCUUUGAAAAGCAUCUAAGCCUCCGCUUCUUCACACCCAUUUUGGGGCACAAUUGCUGUCCAAGAU
rnacentral:snRNA from 1 species